GCGGCGGACGGGUGAGUAACACGUGGGUAACCUGCCUGUAAGACUGGGAUAACUCCGGGAAACCGGGGCUAAUACCGGAUGCUUGAUUGAACCGCAUGGUUCAAUCAUAAAAGGUGGCUUUUAGCUACCACUUGCAGAUGGACCCGCGGCGCAUUAGCUAGUUGGUGAGGUAACGGCUCACCAAGGCGACGAUGCGUAGCCGACCUGAGAGGGUGAUCGGCCACACUGGGACUGAGACACGGCCCAGACUCCUACGGGAGGCAGCAGUAGGGAAUCUUCCGCAAUGGACGAAAGUCUGACGGAGCAACGCCGCGUGAGUGAUGAAGGUUUUCGGAUCGUAAAACUCUGUUGUUAGGGAAGAACAAGUACCGUUCGAAUAGGGCGGCACCUUGACGGUACCUAACCAGAAAGCCACGGCUAACUACGUGCCAGCAGCCGCGGUAAUACGUAGGUGGCAAGCGUUGUCCGGAAUUAUUGGGCGUAAAGCGCGCGCAGGCGGUUUCUUAAGUCUGAUGUGAAAGCCCCCGGCUCAACCGGGGAGGGUCAUUGGAAACUGGGGAACUUGAGUGCAGAAGAGGAGAGUGGAAUUCCACGUGUAGCGGUGAAAUGCGUAGAGAUGUGGAGGAACACCAGUGGCGAAGGCGACUCUCUGGUCUGUAACUGACGCUGAGGCGCGAAAGCGUGGGGAGCGAACAGGAUUAGAUACCCUGGUAGUCCACGCCGUAAACGAUGAGUGCUAAGUGUUAGAGGGUUUCCGCCCUUUAGUGCUGCAGCAAACGCAUUAAGCACUCCGCCUGGGGAGUACGGUCGCAAGACUGAAACUCAAAGGAAUUGACGGGGGCCCGCACAAGCGGUGGAGCAUGUGGUUUAAUUCGAAGCAACGCGAAGAACCUUACCAGGUCUUGACAUCCUCUGACAACCCUAGAGAUAGGGCUUCCCCUUCGGGGGCAGAGUGACAGGUGGUGCAUGGUUGUCGUCAGCUCGUGUCGUGAGAUGUUGGGUUAAGUCCCGCAACGAGCGCAACCUUUGAUCUUAGUUGCCAGCAUUCAGUUGG
rnacentral:rRNA from 1 species